CGGGACGGGUGAGUAACGCGUGGAAAACCUGCCGCAUACUGGGGGAUAACACUUAGAAAUAGGUGCUAAUACCGCAUAAGCGCACAGCUUCGCAUGAAGCGGUGUGAAAAACUCUGGUGGUAUACGAUGGUUCCGCGUCUGAUUAGCUAGUUGGUGGGGUAAUGGCCUACCAAGGCAACGAUCAGUAGCCGGCCUGAGAGGGUGAACGGCCACAUUGGGACUGAGACACGGCCCAAACUCCUACGGGAGGCAGCAG
rnacentral:rRNA from 1 species